rnacentral:rRNA from 1 species
AAAGGAAAUUAAUAAACCAUUAUACAAUGGUAGUCUCUAUAUACUAAAGAAGCUCGUCUCAUAAUCGUAAACACCCGAUAAAUUUCACUUAAUAAAACUUAAGCUUAUAUACCGCCGUUAAGAAUAAACAACACAAACAAUUCUUCUUUUAAUAACAAAAAAUAUCAGGUCAAGGUGUAGCUAACAAUUAAGAAGAGAUAAGCUACACAUAAAAAUAAUUUAAGAAAGAGAAAACAAAAACAACAGAAAAAGAAUUUAUCCGUAAAUAAUAAUUAACAUUUAAUAUAGACCUUAACAAUAAAGAUGC